UGGGGAAUAUUGGACAAUGGGCGAAAGCCUGAUCCAGCCAUGCCGCGUGUGUGAAGAAGGUCUUCGGAUUGUAAAGCACUUUAAGUUGGGAGGAAGGGCAGUUACCUAAUACGUGAUUGUUUUGACGUUACCGACAGAAUAAGCACCGGCUAACUCUGUGCCAGCAGCCGCGGUAAUACAGAGGGUGCAAGCGUUAAUCGGAAUUACUGGGCGUAAAGCGCGCGUAGGUGGUUUGUUAAGUUGGAUAUGAAAUCCCCGGGCUCAACCUGGGAACUGCAUUCAAAACUGACUGACUAGAGUAUGGUAGAGGGUGGUGGAAUUUCCUGUGUAGCGGUGAAAUGCGUAGAUAUAGGAAGGAACACCAGUGGCGAAGGCGACCACCUGGACUAAUACUGACACUGAGGUGCGAAAGCGUGGGGAGCAAACA
rnacentral:rRNA from 1 species